rnacentral:tRNA from 1 species
GGCGAGGUAGCUCAGUUGGUUAGAGCGUCGGAUUCAUAACUCGGAGGUCCCGGGUUCAAAUCUCGGUCUCGCUA